UACGUAGGAGGCGAGCGUUGUCCGGAAUUACUGGGCGUAAAGCGCACGUAGGCGGCUUUGCAAGUCAGAGGUGAAAAGCCCGGGGGCUCAACCCCGGAAUUGCCUUUGAGACUGCAUCGCUAGAAUUGUGGAGAGGUAAGUGGAAUUCCGAGUGUAGAGGUGAAAUUCGUAGAUAUUCGGAAGAACACCAGUGGCGAAGGCGACUCACUGGACACGUAUUGACGCUGAGGUGCGAAACGUGGGGAGCAAACAGGG
rnacentral:rRNA from 1 species